rnacentral:lncRNA from 1 species
CCAGAACCCAGUGACCUGGGAGCCUCAGGGAGCCCAGCCUCCCUUCUCGGAGCCCCCCCCCCCCAUUUCACUGGAGAUGUGGCCUCAGCCUGGAUCUGUCCAUCGCUAGGCCCCGCCCCCAUGUCUAGGAAAAACCACCGCUUCUGAAGGAGGCUGGGAACGAGGCCCCUCUGCUCCUCCCACCAGGCAGCCCCCCUGGCUUGCCUCCAAGCCUCCCAAACCAGCUGCAUCUGUUCUGAGCUGGAGACCACAGGGGCCAGAGCUUGGCAGAUGCCCCCCUGGGAUCCUCUGACCCCCAGGGUUCCUUCCCAGGCAGGCCUGCGCCUUCACCUCACCAUCCCCCCCAGCCUGCUCGGAGGAAAGAGCAGUGGUGCAAAAUUCAGUUGGGGAGAAAAACAGGAAGUGGAGCCCGAGAGCAAAGCCUGCAGUGGCUCUCCCCAGCCUCUCCCCAGCGAAUGCGGCAGCCCCUUCCACCCGCAGCCUUACAGGAAAGUGGCGAGGGGACAGCCCCAGCCCGAGCGGUCGGGGCACGGCGGGGGAGUGGAGUGCAGGCGGACAGUCCAGUUGAGCCCCUUGGGCUGUAUUUUCAGGCCCAGCAUUGCCUCUGUGAUCUGCAUUUUACAUCUGCGCUCACCAGCUCACAGCAGCUCCUCAAGGUGUCGCCAAACCUCGUGCUCUGCACCACCAUCAAGGGGCGGGGCUCUGAGUUUCACUCACCCAUUCAGCACGUGUCAAAGGCCACCAGACACGGUCCUGUGACCCGAGGAUACUGUGACAAACGUCCCUGCGUCCAGGACAUUCAGGAGGAAACGGAGUCUUGGCAGAACGAUUAAUUUUUCCCAGGCGAGCGGACCCGUAGCUCAGUCGUAGAGGUGGGAUCCUACCCAGCUCUGUCCUUUCCGAGCCCGCCUUCUUUCCACGGGGCGGCUGGAUUGUCCCCGAACUCCUCCUCCCACGUUCUGGCUGUGCACACAGCAAUCACCGAAGCUGGAGUGCUUGUACACACGGAGACUGCCCGGAACGGUACCGGAGAUCCUUGUGGCUCUCACGUGCCUCCGUCCUGAUUCCCGAGGAUGGCCACCGCAGCUGGCCGGUGGGAGUCCCUGCCGGCACCGGCUAGGUAAUCGUGCAAAACGAAAGGUGGGCCCCAGGUUCAAAAAUAAUGAAGAUUUUCAAGAUGGCACAGCAGACCAGUAGUGGGGCCCUUCUGAGUGUGGGGGGCUGUGUCGCGGCACGGAUCUCACGCCGCUAAGGCUAGCUCUGCUUCCUGGUUUGCUUCUUCAGUGCAUUCCCCAAAUAUGUUCAGGUCUUUAACUGUGUACAAAAAGCCAGCCUCAGGGCGCCUGGGUGGCUCAGUGGGCUAAAGCCUCUGCCUUCGGCUUGGGUCAUGGUCUCAGGGUCCUGGGAUCGAGCCCCACAUCGGGCUCUCUGCUCAGCGGGGAGCCUGCUUCCUCCUCUCUCCCUCUCUGCCUGCCUCUCUGCCUACUUGUGAUCUCUGUCUGUCCAAUAGAUAAAUAAAAUGUUUAAAAAAAAAAAAGCCCGCCUCCUCACAUGCCAUUCUGCAAGCGGCAUCUGCUUUUUUAUUGAUGAAGAAUGACACACAUUGCUGUGAACCAGGCACGUGGCCGGCCUGUCUCCUUUUCAGUGCUCUGAGGUAGGGAUCCCAGGUUAGGGACCAAACGUCCUUGUCCCCCUUACACAGCUGAAGGAACGGAGGCACAAGAGGAAGAGCAGGUCGUCCAGGGCCGCGGUGUGAAGGGCGGACAGCGGAGGUUUGCUCUGGGGUUUGUCUCGCUGACCUACCUCUACCUGAUUUCUCCAGAGGCAGACCGUGGGUGGUGGGGCGACGUCCGUCCAGGUCGGCACGUGCAGAGCUCUCUCUCCUUGCGGCCAGCAGCCGUCGGAUGCUUCACCUGCUGGAGAGAUGCCGUCUUUAUUUCAUCGGUUUCUCAUGACCAAGCUGCCUUUCUGGGGAGAGGGUGUUUCCACGUGGGGGGUUGAGGGUUUGCGGUCCGAGCUGAGUCCCAGCCAGUGGCAAUGUCCAGUCCUCAGGAGAAGGAGAGGGCAGCGCCAGGGGAACGUUGCACCAGGAACGUGCAGGCGGAGGAUAAGAGCGUGGACGGAGCAGGUGUGCGCAGUCAGGCAGGUGCCGGGAGUGGGGGGUGGGGGAGGGAGGAGCCCUCAGCAGGGGGCUGGCUCUGGGCUGGGGGGCCAGUGCCGGUGGCCUGACAAGGUCACAGGAGCUCUGGGCCUCACCUCCACAGCCGGUGAGAGAGAAAACCAGCUCAAGUGCAGGGACAGCUGCGUCCAUACGGACACGGGGAAGGUCCGGGUUAGACCCCAGCAGCCGCAGUAACAAGGAGCCACAAGUGCAUGGCUUGAAACCAUACACGUGCCCCAUGUGACAGUCCCUCAGGUCAGAUGUGUCACAGGGCUCUCACAGGGCUCAGCUCAGUCCAGGAGUUGGGGCUGCAUUCCUUCUGGAGGACACGGGAGAAUCCAUUCCUGGCCCUUGCCAGCUGCUCAGACAGGCCCACGCGCCUUGGCUUGUGACCCUUCUGCAUCUUCAUGGCCAGCAGCGCAGCACCUCCGACCUCUACGAGUCCAGCGGCUCCAGGAAUUAGGGUGCAGACAUCUUCGGGGGCCGUGCAUUAUUCUGCCUGCCACCACGUCCCUUUAAUUAAGUUGGGGGCCACGCAUCUGAGACAAUGAUAGGUUUUUUUUUUUUAAUAUUUUACUUAUUUAUUUGACAGACAGAGAUCACAGGUAGGCAGAGAGGCAGGCAGAGAGAGGAAGGGAAGCAGGCUCCCUGCUGAGCAGAGAGCCCGAUUUGGGGCUCGAUCCCAGGACCCUGGGAUCAUGACCUGAGCCGAAGGCAGAGGCUUUAACCCACUGAGCC